CUUGCUUUUCGUUGACCGCACCCUUCAUACAUCAUGCCGCUUAUUGGUUACUCGGCGCAGCGCACGAAGGUGAAAUUAACGGGGCGGCGACAGGCCUUGGCUAGACGUGAGAGGUCACGCUCCGGCUUUGCAGACAUGGCCCGUGUCCUCGGGCGCUUCGUCGUCGCGUUGCUGAUGCUACCUAUCCGCAUCAUUUUGCUCGGGCUGCGAAUUGCGGCGGCUAGUCUGCCCUCCGGCCUCCUUUCAUGGGUGAACCUGUAGGUAGCCGCAACCCAGCGCCGUCAUUGAAGACGCCGCUUUUCCCAUGAAAUGGUCCUGAAUUCAAAGCAACCGAAGACAUCCGAAAGGAAUCGACAACCUGCAACCUUCAAAAGGACAAAAUGGAGCAGCUUUUAGCCUGAACUAAUUACGAUUUUUAACCUCACCGUCCAUUGGCAUGAUGUACAUCACCUCCUCGAGCUGUCUCGUCGACCACAUCAAGCAAUAAAGUCAUUUCAUGGGA
rnacentral:lncRNA from 1 species